rnacentral:rRNA from 1 species
UGGGGAAUUUUGGACAAUGGGCGCAAGCCUGAUCCAGCAAUGCCGCGUGCAGGAUGAAGGCCUUCGGGUUGUAAACUGCUUUUGUACGGAACGAAAAGCUUCUCUCUAAUACAGGGGGGCCAUGACGGUACCGUAAGAAUAAGCACCGGCUAACUACGUGCCAGCAGCCGCGGUAAUACGUAGGGUGCAAGCGUUAAUCGGAAUUACUGGGCGUAAAGCGUGCGCAGGCGGUGAUGUAAGACAGAGGUGAAAUCCCCGGGCUCAACCUGGGAACUGCCUUUGUGACUGCAUCGCUGGAGUGCGGCAGAGGGGGGAUGGAAUUCCGCGUGUAGCAGUGAAAUGCGUAGAUAUGCGGAGGAACACCGAUGGCGAAGGCAAUCCCCUGGGCCUGCACUGACGCUCAUGCACGAAAGCGUGGGGAGCAAACAGGAUUAGAUACCCGAGUAG